AAAACACCAAAAGGGAACUAGGACAGAAUGGGGUCAGAGUAUAAGAACAAAGGGAAACAGAAAAAGACUGAGCUCAAAUUUCAAAGAUAUGAAAGUUUGAGUUAAUAAAGGAGUAAUGGAUGUCAACAGAAGGAAGCACACUAUUAAAUAGCAAGAUAAUCAAAGAAAAACAGAGAUAUAGAGGGAAUAAUUGCAAUCAAAAUAUAUUAUUUUUAAAUAAAGAAAAUCAUGGAAUAAAAAAUGAGUAAAAGUCAGGACAAGAGACAAAGCUUUUGGAGUUUAUGGCAGAAAGAAUUUCAACUGGGUGAUUCAUGCACCCAUUAGAGCUUGAGAAGCACUGCUUGGAAGCCCCUUCUGCCAUAAAUGAGCACCAUCCUUGGGAUCCCCUCUGCCAGUGGCCGGAGCAAAGCCUUCUCCACGUGCUCCUCGCAUCUCACCGUGGUGCUCAUUUGGUAUGGGUCCACAAUUUUCCUUCACGUCCGCACCUCUAUCAAAGACGCCUUGGAUCUGACCAAAGCUGUCCACGUCCUGAACACUGUGGUGACUCCAGUUUUAAACCCCUUCAUCUAUACGCUUCGUAAUAAGGAAGUAAGAGAAACUCUGCUGAAGAAAUGGAAGGGAAAAUAAAUCUCCUCUGCCACAACAGAUGUCCUGUAAAUGGUCUCUGCAUCUAUACAGAGGUUCCAAGUAAGAAUGUGGAGGAACAGGGCAAAUCUUUCUUGGUACACAGAGAAAAAACAAACAAAACAAGCAAUACUAUAUUUUCUAUACAUUAUCAUGUAUGAUAAAAAUGGGAGUUUUUGACAUAAGCAAAUGGGACUUUUUAAGUAAAAAAUAAUUGUACAUUGAAUUAGGUUUGCUCUGGACUUUGGUUUAUAAAUUAGAGACAUCUGCAAUAAAAAGAGUGUUUUGGUAUAUCAGCUCUAAAUUCUUGUUUCUCUUUAAAGAUUAGCAAAAUUGUCUUAGUAUAAAAUAUUGAGAACUACAUUUGUGGAACACGAGGGAAGAGAAAUAUGC
rnacentral:sRNA from 1 species